rnacentral:rRNA from 1 species
GCUAAACCGAAAGUAUAAGAGGUCCCGCCUGCCCUGUGACUAUAUGUUUAACGGCCGCGGUAUUUUGACCGUGCGAAGGUAGCGCAAUCACUUGUCUUUUAAAUGGGGACCUGUAUGAAUGGCAUAACGAGGGCUUAACUGUCUCCUCUUUCAAGUCAAUGAAAUUGAUCUCCCCGUGCAGAAGCGAGGAUAGAUACAUAAGACGAGAAGACCCUAUGGAGCUUUAGACACUAAAGCAGAUCAGUAUUAAUACCCUGAACAUAGGCUACGAAUAAACUGACCCCUGCCCUAAUGUCUUUGGUUGGGGCGACCGCGGAGAAAAAUAAAACCCCCGCAAGGACUAAAUGUACUACAUUCACAAACAAGAGCGACAGCUCUAACUAACAGAACUUCUGACCAAUAAGAUCCGGCAAUGCCGAUCAAUGAACCGAGUUACCCUAGGGAUAACAGCGCAAUCUCCUCUUAGAGCCCAUAUCGACGA